CAGCUUUUGACCGUUGGAUAAAUUUCAUUUUCAUGAUGUGAUGAUGGAGGGUACAAAAUAGAAUAUCUUAGAGAUAUAGUAACAUAAUCAAACAUGGGAAUCAAGAAAUUGUCUCAAUUUUUAGAAAUGAUUCAAAAAAGAUAUUGUGGUGACAUCGUUAUGGUUAUACUUAUAACCACGUUAAGAUUAGAGAGAGAUUUAGAGAGAGAAAGAGAGGGAGGUAGGUGGAGUUGUGGGGGGUUGUUGUCUUGUUGACGAGGGGAGGGAAAUAAUUGCUAAGGUUUUGAAGGUGAGUUGGGCAUGCAGCUUCCUCUCACCCACACAUCCGCGAGCCCACACUUCUGAGCUACCACCCUUCUCCCACCAUUACCUCCACCUACCUCCCUCCCUCCCCCUCUCUUAUUUAUCUCUCUCCCUCUCUCUCCUCUCUUUAAGUUCCACACCCUUCUCUCUCUCUCUCUCUCUCUCUCUCUCUCUCUCUCUCUCUCUGUGCCACCAUGAUCUCCAUUGAAACCCAAAACCCGGAUGUUUCCAACCUUGACACUAGUCACUCUAUCCCCAAAAUGGCCAAUCGAAUUGACGACCAUGUUUUCAGAUCAAAACUCCCUGAAAUUCCCAUCUCCAACCACCUCCCUCUCCACACCUACUGCUUUGAAAACUACUCCCAAUUCGCCGAUCGUCCAUGCUUGAUCGUCGGAUCCACCAACAAAACCUACUCCUUUGCAGAAACCCACCUCAUUUCUCGCAAAGUCGGAGCUGGGUUCGCCCACCUCGGCCUCAAACAGGGAGACGUCGUCAUGAUCCUCCUCCAGAACUGCGCCGAAUUCGCGUUCUCCUUUCUCGGAGCUUCCAUGGUCGG
rnacentral:lncRNA from 1 species